rnacentral:rRNA from 1 species
UAGGGAAUCUUCCGCAAUGGACGCAAGUCUGACGGAGCAACGCCGCGUGAGUGAAGAAGGAUUUCGGUUCGUAAAACUCUGUUGUUAGAGAAGAACAGCGCAUAGAGUAACUGUUAUGCGUGUGACGGUAUCUAACCAGAAAGCCACGGCUAACUACGUGCCAGCAGCCGCGGUAAUACGUAGGUGGCAAGCGUUGUCCGGAUUUAUUGGGCGUAAAGCGAGCGCAGGCGGUCAAUUAAGUCUGAUGUGAAAGCCCCCGGCUCAACCGGGGAGGGUCAUUGGAAACUGGUUGACUUGAGUGCAGAAGAGGAGAGUGGAAUUCCAUGUGUAGCGGUGAAAUGCGUAGAUACAUGGAGGAACACCAGUGGCGAAGGCGACUCUCUGGUCUGUAACUGACGCUGAGGCUCGAAAGCGUGGGUAGCAAACAGG